CAGUCGCCGCGGUAAUACGUAGGUGGCAAGCGUUGUCCGGAAUUAUUGGGCGUAAAGCGCGCGUAGGUGGUUAAUAAGUCUGAUGUGAAAGCCCACGGCUCAACCGUGGAGGGUCAUUGGAAACUGUUAAACUUGAGUGCAGGAGAGAAAAGUGGAAUUCCUAGUGUAGCGGUGAAAUGCGUAGAGAUUAGGAGGAACACCAGUGGCGAAGGCGGCUUUUUGGCCUGUAACUGACACUGAGGCGCGAAAGCGUGGGGAGCAAACAGGAUUAGAUACCCCUGUAGUCCCUGUCUCUUAUACA
rnacentral:rRNA from 1 species